CUCAUGUCACAUGCGAUGCAAACAGGCAUCUCUAUUCCCUCGUGCCUCCUUUUGCCAUUGCGUUUACCAAUCUCUUUCCUUCCUUGAUUAAAAGCGUCCCCUUCCCCCUUCCUUGUUUUGCCAUCUCGCGCUCUCCCCUCUCUUUCGACACCGGGGGCAAUGGCAGCGACGACCAAAUCGGAGGGGCAGAGUGGCGCCAAGGCUGUUCCGAAGAUAGUUUUGAACGAAAGACAGCACAAGUUCGAGACGGAGGACAAGGAGUCGUAUAUACAGUACGUGCUGAGAAAUGAUGGUAAGGUCAUGGACUUGAUCCACACUUUUGUGCCCUCUUCCAAGAGGAGUUUGGGCUUGGCCUCUCAUCUCUGUGUUGCCGCCUUUCGUCACGCCCAGUCCCAUUCCCUCUCGGUUAUCCCAACCUGUUCUUACGUCUCUGACACGUUUGUUCCGAGGAACCCAUCUUGGAGGUCUGUCUUGUACACAGAGGGCGGAAAAUCCAAUAUGUGAACUCAACAAUCAUUGAGCUUUGAAAUAGAUGUGUAGGCUUUUUCUGAAGCCUUGAAUUAGGGAGCUCUGCAAAAUUCUUGUGGACUCAAUUCUCAUGACUUUGCCGGUAAUUGGACAAGAGAUCACAUCUCCACCACCAGGGGUCAGAACAUCAAUGUGGACCAGGUAUACAGGGGAAGCUAAUAAUUAAACUUACAAAUUCACUGCUAAAAUUGGCCAGUCUAAUUAAUUCAGUCCAACAGGCGAUGUUAACACUGUCCAAGAAAGGCAUGGUCGAAUGAGAAUUGAAAGCCAGAUUCGAGGCGGGUGGCAAAAUAUCAGGUUCAGGGAAUAUAAUCCAGCUGGUCACCGCCAUAUACACAUAUCCGCGACAAGCACCUUCGACUAACACAAGUUGUCGGUGUUAUAUAAAGGCAUUCAUGCAUCAUCUCACAAACAUACCACAUGUUUACUCUGUUUUUGCCUUGUCAUCUUUCUGUAUACCUACUUACUAGAUUGAUCAACCUUUUUAAUCUGGUCAACACCCCUUGUAGCCGCUUCUUCCUCUUUAACCUAUGCAGUAUGCAUAGUCCCAUUCUCUGUGUGUGUGUGUACAUACUACUCUUAAUUUUUUUAGCAACUUGUAAAGCUUGCUGUCAAACUAUAUUUCACUGUUAGACUGUGAAGAUUGUUAGAACGAUACCAGCUCAAUAUUAUUGUUGGUGACAAUCGGUUA